UUACUUUGGCAGCAUGUAUACUAAAAUUGUUACAAUACGGAGAAGAUUAGCAUGUCCCCCACAAGUUAAAAAAAAAAAAAAAAGUUUGAAAAUACUUGU
rnacentral:snRNA from 1 species